rnacentral:pre_miRNA from 1 species
UGAAGAAGAAAAGAGGGUGUAUGGAAUGAAGUUUGAUCCAAGAUCCCUCCUUCUCCAUAAGUUCUUAUCUGAUAAUUACUUAAGGGAUUGAUCAUUGAUCUCGGACCAGGCUUCAUUCCUCACACCAUGCUUUUCCUUGCU